rnacentral:rRNA from 1 species
GACGAACGCUGGCGGCGUGCUUAACACAUGCAAGUCGAACGGUGAAGCGCCUUCCUUUUUGGUGGGUGUGGAUGAGUGGCGAACGGGUGAGUAACACGUGAGUAACCUGCCCCCUUCUUCUGGAUAACCGCAUGAAAGUGUGGCUAAUACGGGAUAUUCUGGGUCUGUCGCAUGAUGGGUCUGGGAAAGAUAUUGUUUCGGUGGGGGAUGGGCUCGCGGCCUAUCAGCUUGUUGGUGGGGUGAUGGCCUACCAAGGCGGUGACGGGUAGCCGGCCUGAGAGGGUGGACGGUCACACUGGGACUGAGACGCGGCCCAGACUCCUGCGGGAGGCAGCAGUGGGGAAUAUGGCACAAUGGGCGCAAGGCUGAUGCAGCGACGCCGCGUGAGGGAUGGAGGCCUUCGGGUUGUGAACCUCUUUCGCCAGUGAAGCAGGCCUGCCUCGUUUGUGGGUGGGUUGACGGUAGCUGGAUAAGAAGCGCCGGCUAACUACGUG